rnacentral:tRNA from 1 species
CAGGACAUAGCUAAGAUAGAAGAGUAUCUCCCUUACACUGAGAAGGCACCUGUGCAAAUCAGGUUGUCCUGA